rnacentral:rRNA from 1 species
UACGGAAGGCAGCAGUGGGGAAUAUUGCACAAUGGGCGCAAGCCUGAUGCAGCCAUGCCGCGUGUAUGAAAAAGGCCUUCGGGUUGUAAAGUACUUUCAGUCGUGAGGAAGGUGUUAAGGUUAAUAACCUUAGCAAUUGACGUUAGCGACAGAAGAAGCACCGGCUAACUCCGUGCCAGCAGCCGCGGUAAUACGGAGGGUGCGAGCGUUAAUCGGAAUUACUGGGCGUAAAGGGCACGCAGGCGGUUAAUUAAGUUGGAUGUGAAAUCCCCGGGCUUAACCUGGGAAUGGCAUUCAAGACUGGUUAGCUAGAGUCUUGUAGAGGGGGUAGAAUUCCGAUGUGUAGCGGUGAAAUGCGUAGAGAUGUGGAGGAAUACCGGUGGCGAAGGCGGCCCCUGGACAAAGACUGACGCUCAUGUGCGAAAGCGUGGGGAGCAAACGAGGGAUUAGAUAC